GCAGGAUAGUCUAGUGGUUAUGGUGUUUGACUCCCAGCCCAAAAGGUACUGGGUUCGAUCCCCAAUCUACCUGUA